UUUAAAGAAAUUAAAAACAAUUAUCAUGAGAGGACAAGAUGGCCGACUAGAGACAUCACUUAUCAUGAGAGAGCAAGAUGGCCGACUAGAGACAUCACUUGUCGGAGCUUCCUGGAGGGAAGGAAGGGUUUCAGAUAAAGGAAAGGCUGGAACAGGCACAGCUCAGGUGUAUUUCAGAGGAGGAGCACCAGAGCCUGCCAGGGACUUCAUGGGGGAAAUUACUGCAGCAGAACAGGAAAAAGGAAAAAGAAAAAGAGAAGAAUAAAUUGGUGAGGAUCAAACCCAACUGCGGCUUGGAGCCCAGUGAAAGGGCAAAAGGAGGAUCCUGUUCCCUUCCCACACACCUUUGGUGAUCAGCGGGCUGCUGAGGAGUUUGGAAGUUUUCUCGCCCUUGUGAGCCUGGGCACAGCUGCAACCUCUGUAUGAUGACAGGCAACAUGACCUGUGACACUGCCAUGGAUUAAAUGCAGGAGCAGACAUGAUAAUCCAGCUGUCUUUCAUGAAGCCAGACCUUAAAGAAAUUCGCAGAAAGAUAAAGAAGGAAGGGCGUCCUGAAACCAAAGAGUUAGAAACCUGUUGAUAAAAGGAAAUAAAAAAAGGACAGUGUGAUAUACACACAUAAACAGAAACUCUACCAUUUUCAAGUUUCAUAAAUCCAAGGAUCAGAAUUUGGAAAGAGGCCAAUAUCCCUUCCUCUGAGAAGCAUUUUCAACAGCCACCCAAAUAUACAGUGAAGCCAACAUAACCACAUACAGUUGGCAUGCUGAAGUUUGGAUAUUUUUUUCUGCAUAAGAAAUAGAAUGUUGAGAAUGGGAACUGGUUUUAAAAUUAACAAAAUCUGAGAGAAAUGGAAAAUUAUCCUGAAGACUCAGAGAAUGGGCAAAGCUCUAAACCUGAUUUAAUGGAGGAACCAAAAGAAAAUUUUGGAAAACUUUAUUAUAUCUUCAGGAGAAUGGAAUAAAAUAUGGCCAGUAAGGCUAGGGAGUCUGAGAAAAAUAAACAAUAAAAUAGAGGGACAGUAAGACGACACACAAAGACAGCAAAGUAA